rnacentral:rRNA from 1 species
CAGCAGCCGCGGUAAUACGUAGGGUGCGAGCGUUGUCCGGAAUUAUUGGGCGUAAAGGGCUCGUAGGCGGUUUGUCGCGUCGGGAGUGAAAACCAGGUGCUUAACACCUGGCUUGCUUUCGAUACGGGCAGACUAGAGGUAUGCAGGGGAGAACGGAAUUCCUGGUGUAGCGGUGAAAUGCGCAGAUAUCAGGAGGAACACCGGUGGCGAAGGCGGUUCUCUGGGCAUGACCUGACGCUGAGGAGCGAAAGUGUGGGGAGCGAACAGG